rnacentral:rRNA from 1 species
GCGCAACCCUUUUCCUAUUGCCAGCGGGUUAAGCCGGGAACUUUAAGGAUACUGCCAGUGACAAACUGGAGGAAGGCGGGGACGACGUCAAGUCAUCAUGGCCCUUACGACCAGGGCUACACACGUGCUACAAUGGUCGGUACAAAGGGUUGCUACCUAGCGAUAGGAUGCUAAUCUCAAAAAGCCGAUCGUAGUCCGGAUUGGAGUCUGCAACUCGACUCCAUGAAGUCGGAAUCGCUAGUAAUCGCGGAUCAGAAUGCCGCGGUGAAUACGUUCCCGGGCCUU